rnacentral:rRNA from 1 species
AGCGAACGCUGGCGGCAGGCUUAACACAUGCAAGUCGAGCGGGCACUUUCGGGUGUCAGCGGCGGACGGGUGAGUAACGCGUGGGAACGUGCCCUCUGGUUCGGAAUAACUCAGGGAAACUUGAGCUAAUACCGGAUACGCCCUUUUGGGGAAAGGCUUGCUGCCGGAGGAUCGGCCCGCGUCUGAUUAGCUAGUUGGUGAGGUAACGGCUCACCAAGGCGACGAUCAGUAGCUGGUCUGAGAGGAUGAUCAGCCACACUGGGACUGAGACACGGCCCAGACUCCUACGGGAAGCAGCAGUGGGGAAUAUUGGACAAUGGGCGCAAGCCUGAUCCAGCCAUGCCGCGUGAGUGAUGAAGGCCUUAGGGUUGUAAAGCUCUUUUAUCCGGGACGGUAAUGACGGUACCGGAGGAAUAAGCCCCGGCUAACUUCGUG